rnacentral:guide_RNA from 1 species
AUACAAUAACAAUAUGGAUACGAUGUGCAGUGUGAUUUGUAGAUUAAU